rnacentral:lncRNA from 1 species
CUUCUAAAUUUAUUUUUGGCGUAUAACCGAAAUGUACAGACCGAUAUGCAGAAUGACCAGUGUUUUCAUUCAAAACUUUCUUUCUAAAACUAAAUGUUUGUGAACAAACAUGAUUGUCAAUAAUGUGUAUCAAAAUGCUGUCUACAUUAAAUGACGUUAAUUUGCAGGUGGUAUAAUGAUAAGACAUGUACUUAUCUGAAAUAAAGAACACUUGCAAUGGUAGUUGACGCGAUAUAAU